rnacentral:rRNA from 1 species
AGUACCCCGAGGAAAAGAAAUCAACCGAGAUUCCCCCAGUAGCGGCGAGCGAACGGGGAGGAGCCCAGAGUCUGAAUCAGCGUGUGUGUUAGUGGAACGGUCUGGAAAGUCCGGCGAUACAGGGUGACAGCCCCGUACACGAAAAUGCACAUGCUGUGAACUCGAAGAGUAGGGCGGGACACGUGGUAUCCUGUCUGAAUAUGGGGGGACCAUCCUCCAAGGCUAAAUACUCCUGACUGACCGAUAGUGAACCAGUACCGUGAGGGAAAGGCGAAAAGAACCCCGGCGAGGGGAGUGAAAAAGAACCUGAAACCGUGUACGUACAAGCAGUGGGAGC